rnacentral:rRNA from 1 species
ACUCCCUUCGGGGAGUGCAUAAAGUGGCGCACGGGUGAGUAACACGUAAGUAAUCUACCUUUGAGUGGGGAAUAACCCGGGGAAACCCGAGCUAAUACCGCAUAAUGCAGCGGCAUCGCAAGAUGACAGUUGUUAAAGGAGCAAUCCGCUUAAAGAGGAGCUUGCGGCAGAUUAGCUAGUUGGUAAGGUAACGGCUUACCAAGGCUACGAUCUGUAUCCGGUCUAAGAGGACGGUCGGACACACUGACACUGAAUAACGGGUCAGACUCCUACGGGAGGCAGCAGUCGGGAAUUUUGGGCAAUGGGCGAAAGCCUGACCCAGCAACGCCGCGUGAAGGAUGAAGUAUUUCGGUAUGCAAACUUCGAAAGAAUGGGAAGAAUAAAUGACGGUACCAUUUAUAAGCUCCGGCUAACUACGUGCCAGCAGCCGCGGUAAUACGUAGGGAGCAAGCGUUG